GCCCGAGUGGCGGAAUAGGUAGACGCACAGGACUUAAAAUCCUGCGAGCAUAAUAACUCGUGCCGGUUCAAGUCCGGCCUCGGGCACCA
rnacentral:tRNA from 1 species